rnacentral:rRNA from 1 species
CUCAACGAGAGAUCCGGUGAAAUUUUAAUACCUGUGAAGAUGCAGGUUACCCGCGACAAGACGGAAAGACCCCAUGGAGCUUUACUACAGCUUGAUAUUGGACGUUGGUACGGACUGUACAGGAUAGGUGGGAGCCUGAGAAGCCUGAGCGCCAGCUUAGGUGGAGGCGCCGUUGGGAUACCACCCUGUUCGUAUCGGAGUUCUAACCUAGGACCGUGACCCGGUUCGGGGACAGUGUCAGGUGGGUAGUUUGACUGGGGCGGUCGCCUCCUAAAGAGUAACGGAGGCGCCCCAAGGUUCCCUCAGAAUGGUUGGAAAUCAUUCGAAGAGUGCAAAGGCAUAAGGGAGCUUGACUGCGAGACCUACAAGUCGAGCAGGGACGAAAGUCGGGCUUAGUGAUCCGGUGGUUCCGCAUGGAAGGGCCAUCGCUCAACGGAUAAAAGCUACCCUGGGGAUAACAGGCUUAUCUCCCCCAAGAGUCCACAUCGACGGGGAGGUUUGGCACCUCGAUGUCGGCUCAUCCGCAUCCUGGGGCUGAAGUAGGUCCCAAGGGUUGGGCUGUUCGCCCAUUAAAGCGGUACGCGAGCUGGGUUCAGAACGUCGUGAGACAGUUCGGUCCCUAUCUGUCGCGGGCGUAGGAAAUUUGAGAGG